rnacentral:rRNA from 1 species
GACUAACGCUGGCGGCGUGCCUAACACAUGCAAGUCGAACGGGGCCCUGGUUCGCCAGGGUUCAGUGGCAGACGGGUGAGUAACACGUAGGUAAUGUACCCUCUUGCUGGGGAUACCUGUCCGAAAGGAUAGUUAAUACCGAAUGAGCCAAACCUGGGGCAUCUUGGGGUUGGCAAACUGGCAACGGGCGAGAGGAUCAGCUUGCGGACCAUCAGCUAGUUGGUGAGGUAAUGGCUCACCAAGGCGACGACGGUUAGCCGGUUUGAGAGGACGAUCGGCCACACUGGGACUGAAACACGGCCCAGACUCCUACGGGUGGCUG